AUUUUUCUGCCCCUUUGAACUGGAAAAUGGCCCACUUCCCACUGGUGAAAACUCAUGAAAUUCGGCAGGACGACCGGGCCUGGUGAAAAAUUCGAUAUUCUGAAGUCACCCAAACAAUCAAAUGCAAAAUGGCUCCAUAGCGCCCCCUAAGGUGAAAAAUUCACAUGAUUGAGUGUCACGCCUGUACGCUUUGUCAAAAUGACACAAAAUUUGACACACACGUGUAUCUCAAUAAGAUCUACAAAAAAGUCAGUGCGGGCGUAUCUGUCAAAUGUACGUUUAAAGGGCUAUUUCGCAUUUUUUGCCGAUCCGCACACAUUGGAAUUUCGCUAACUCCUCCGAAGGCUUUCGUUCCACCGGCACCAAAUUUGCUCAGGCCAAUCUAACCCCAUGGCCAUUCAAAGUUGUACAAAUCAUGACGCUGCACCCCACGGUUUACGUUGUACGGGGCGCCAAAGAUAACCCAAAAAUCCACAUUCUUACAAGUCUUAUAACUUUUUAUUUCUGUCCUCACUGGCCUCCAAGUUUUCUAGGAUGAUGCAAUGUCCAGCCAUCAACACAUUUGUGAAGGAAUUUUUACUCCCCAAAAGAGCGCCCCCCCAUGGCAGGAGAAAAAAGUCCAUUUUUUCUUGUCCUAUAAGGUGAAAAUACACAUUGUUGAGUGUCACGCCUGUACGCUUUGUCAUAUUGAAACAAAAUUUGAUAAUCACGUGUAUCUCAAUAAGAUCUACGAAAAAGUCAACGCGCACGUGUCUGCAAAAUGUACGGUUAAAGGGCUAUUUCGCAUUUUUGGUUGAUUCGCACACAUUGGAAUGUGGCUAACUCCUCCUAAAGCUUUCGUUCCACCGGCACCAAAUUUGCUCAGGCCAAUCUACACCCCAUGGCCAUUAAAAGUUGUACAAAUCAUGAUGCUGCACCCCACGGUUUACGUUCUAGGGGUCGCCAAAGAUAACCCAAAAAUCCACAUUCUUAAAAGUCUUAUAACUUUUCAUUUUUGUCCUCACUGGCUUCAAAGUUUUCUAGGAUGAUGCAAUGUCUAGCCAUCAACACAUUUGUGAAGGAAUUUUUUCUCCCUAAAAGAGUGCCCCCCCAUGGCAGGAGAAAAAGUCAAGUUUUUCCUGCCCAUCGCUCAAUGGCUCAAACACAUCGCUCUCUCGGAAAAAAACGAAAGGAGGAGGAACUUGCCAUUUGGAUAUAUCCUAGCUGUGUUUGUGCCCUCACUCAUGGUCCAGACUUUUUUCAAAUAGGACAUGUAGUUUGUCUGCAGCAAGCGUUUUGGUAGAAACUGCGCCUCCCAUUCAUUAUAAUGGUAAAUGACCACAGACAAGUGCGCACACAAUCGUUGAACCUUGAGUGUGACGCGAUCGGGAGGGAGAGGCGGUCGUGUUGGGGGCGGCGUGA